rnacentral:lncRNA from 10 species
AAACGGCGUCAGGCGAGGCGAGGCGAGAGGUUCGAGGUUCUACAGAGAUGAUCAGACUGACUGAUGGACCUCAAGGUGGCCGCUCUGCCCCAGGACAGGCCUAUAAGAGGCUGUGGUCACCUAGAAAACAUCCAGAGACUAAAUGGAGGAAACAGCUUCCAGCUCCCAGAAAUACGUUUCGCAUUUCUCUCUCCCAGGGGCAGAGUCCCCAACAGCCGCAAACCCAGAGGAGCAGACGACGAUUCGGAGAAGGAAGAAAAGACGCUGGGAAGGAGCCAGGGAUGACAGGAAGAGAAGGAGACGGGGAAGGGCCCUGAGGCGAGGGAGGCAGGGGAGGAGCGACAAGAGGGGUUGUGACAGGCACCGAGGGGACAGAAAAAGACCCCACGGUCACAGGUGGAGCGCCCGACGGCACAGGGGACUGAGAAAGAGGAUGGGGACGGCGACAGGACUGUGAGAAGGCAGCAGCGAGGACAGUGCAGCAGUGGGAUCAACAGCAAUAAAGAGGAUACAUUCGUAGGCAAAGGGGACAGGACCAGAGAGAGAAGACAGUGAAUCAGAUGGGAGCGAACUAGAGAGGUGACGAAGACAAAGAUCCCAGGGGCCAGGACAGAGAUGAAGGGGUCUAAGAAAUACGGGAGAGACGGCCAGGCAAGGUGCCUCACCCCUAUAAUCCCAGCUUUUUGGGAGGCCAAGAGGCGAGGAUCUCUUGAGGUCAGAAGUUCGAGACCAGCCUCCGCAACAUGGUGAAACUCCGUCUCCACUAAAAAUACAAAAAUUAGCCAGGCGCGGUGGCGUGUGCCUGUAAUCCCAACCUCCUGGCAGAAUGAGACAGGAGACCCGCUUGAACCCAGGAGGCGGAGAUUGCAGUGAGCCAAGAUCAAACAACUGCACUCCAGCCUGGGUGACAGAGCAAGACUUCGUCCAAAAAAAAUUUUUUUUUGAAGUAAUUUAAAAACGGCUAGGAAGACGCAAUUUCUUCCUCUGAAGUCUUCCUCCCUUUAUAUUUUGUUGUUAUGAUAUAGGG